AUUAACGCUAGCGGCAGGCAUAAUACAUGCAAGUUGAACGGCAGCACAGGUAGCAAUACUGGGUGGCGAGUGGCGCACGGGUGCGUAACACGUAUGCAACCUACCCUAUACAGGCGAAUAACCUUUAGAAAUGAGGGCUAAUACGCCGUAGUAUUACAGAUGGGCAUCUAUUUGUAAUUAAAGAUUUAUCGGUAUAGGAUGGGCAUGCGUCCCAUUAGUUAGUUGGUAAGGUAACGGCUUACCAAGACGA
rnacentral:rRNA from 1 species